AGAAAAAGGUUUUAAAUAGGCUUGCUUCCAAAAUUCAAAUAGUUUACUGUGUUUGGUGGCAAAGACGUCUUCUUUUGCACUCCACUUAAAAGUGAGCCCAAAUUACCUAAACAUCUUUUCCUUCAUUUUUUAUACGUGUAUAGGUGUUUUGCCUGCAUGUGUGUCUCUGUGCACCACUUGUGUACAGUUGUCUGCUGAGACCAGGGAGGACAUUAGAUCCCCUGGGACUGGUGUUAGAGCUAAUUGUGAGCCCCCAUGUGGUUGCUGGGGAAGUAGAAGUCCGGUCUUCUGGAAGAGCAGUCAGUGCUCUUGACACUGAGCUGGCCCCCACCCCAAACUAUUAUUCCAAACGAGCAGACCCUUCACCCUUCAAAGUCAAGUUUUAAAAACUCAUCUUCCAAUACCUCUGGGCAAUCCUUCCUUAGGUAUUUAAAGACUUGCCCACCAUUUAUUGAGAAGUACUGGCUGAUGGGUUUUUAAAUGUUACAGUUUAAACAGGAAACUCUCCUAGAACAUGCAGAUCACUGGUGUGAAAAGGAAACCACGAUGGGGAAACCCAAGAAGAAACGGGUGUCUAUUAAGGACUUUCCACAGUGCACCCUGGUCCGGAGGCGCGCCCAAUGAUACCAUAAAAGAAAAUACUGGUUCCUCCCUGUCCAAAGGAUGAAUAGAGGAUCACGGGACUGGUCGCGGACAAUCAAAUAAACUAUAACCUAACACCACAGCGCUAUAGCCCUGGAAAUGCAUGCCUCCACCCAGAGUCAAACAAUGGCCAAUCAGGACUGCCUUCAUUUGCAUGAUGGGAAUCACGUGGGAGCGAACUCGCACUGAGAAGAGCAAAUCGGAUCUAGCAGACCAUCUGGAAACGGCUUUGUAGACCUCGGAAGACACAAUACUGGCUAUGCGAUAGUGACUACACAUUGGACCCAACCUUCUGCAUUGAUGCUGAAUAUAUUUGCCCAACAGACUGAGUCCACAGGUCUCACUGAACUCUGGAGCCUUCCAAAGAGAAAUGAGCUAACCUUUAUAACUGACUCAAAAUAUCAUUUUUGGUGCCCCAUAUCAUGGAGUCGUAUGAAGAAAAACAAGGCUCCAAUUUCUGAAUAAUAAAGACAUACAAAUAUUUAGGAGGUCAAUAAACUCUCAGAGGCUGUCCUCAGGCACGAAGAGGUGGCUGCCGUGCCUUGCUCCAGACAUUGUGAAUGAAACCACAUUACCACCCAAGCCAGUAAGUCAGCAGCAAGGAAAACGUAUUUGGGUCUUCUGAGACUUGGAAUUGACUCUUCUCUAUCCUGAAUACUCAGAGGUUGACCCCAAGAGUGGGAUUUUAAAGAGUGGGACCCUUUCUUUCAAUGGGAGAGUCAGCACACAGAUGCUGUGUUCCAGAGAAGGCCAAGAUUGUACCUCGGGCCAGCAGCUGGACUUGCAAGUUUAAGAGUCACCCACCCAGGUGAUACUGGUUUUGAAGGCAUGCAGGGGUCAUGGAAAGCAGCGGAGGCUUGGCACUGUAAGAGCCCACUGGUGAAGAUGCAGCCUCAGUGGCAGGGGAAGACUCAGGACUGAAGGGUUCAUGCAUAGACGUUGAGGGCUGACACCAUGAGGAGAGCCUAUGAGAGUCUAUUGGUGACAGCGCAGCCUGGCUGCAGCAGAAGGUCCCAGCACCGUGGCAUGGCCACUGCAGCAGCAGUGGAAUGGCACCAUCCAGAGCCUGGAAGACAAGCUGUGUGUGCUGCAGGGGGCAGAGCUGGAGAAGGAACCCAAGCUUCUAGAAGGAGCAUAGAAAACCCGGAAUGAAUCCAGGUAUUGGACAUUGAGUUAGUUAUACUUGUAGUGUUUGGUUUUGCUUUGAUUGUGACUGUGCCCUGAACUUCCUAAACGUCUUCCCUCUUAAAGUUAAAAAGCAGUUAAUUCAGUUUUGAUUUUGCAGAGACUUUGGAUUUUAAAAGAUGUUGAACCUUAAAAGAGAUUGGGUCCUUUAAAGAGACUGAAUUUUUAAUGUGCUUGAAUUUUUAAAGACUGCAUGAAUUUUAAAGUCACUUAUAUUUCUAACGUGAGAU